rnacentral:tRNA from 1 species
UGCGUGUAAGAGUUAUGUGCUCAUAAGUGAUUUGAAAUCAUUUAGUUCGUGUUGGUAAACGAUACAUGCUG